GUUGCAACUUUCAUUCUGUGAAGAUGCCCUCUAGAUAGUUUAGGUUUGAGUUGCAUCUGUACCACACCAGAAUCGUUUUUUGCGGUAGUCCGAGUUUUAGGGAAUAUGGUUGGCGCAUUGGCUGAACAACCUUCAUCUAGUCUGCUGAAACACAUAAUUAGGUGCUAUCUUCGUUUGUCUUAUAAUCGAAGGGCAUGUGAUGUACUGAGGACUCAUCUUCCUCUUAUUCUUAGAGAUACCACCUUCAGCAGUCGUCUUAGUGUACGUAAUACUUGGCAAUAUAAGUAGCUCUGUAACCCCCCGGUUCCGUUAGUGAUCAUGAAGCAGUCCUUUUCUGGCAUUAGACCCUUGUUUUUUUCUGACCAUGGGUGGUUUCGCGUUGUGUUAUUUUAUCAGGAGGAUCAUGUGACGAAGAAGUGGCUGCAGCAAUUGCUUCGCAAUGUUGAUGGGAAUCGGAGGAUUUGAUUGUAAUUCUAGUGAACUGAAUUCAUAAAACUAGGAACUUAAAUUAGGAUCUUUUGAUGGAUUAGUUAAGGUGCAUAUUUGGUGUGCAUUUCUUGUACUAUACUUGGGAUCUUUUGUUGGAGUAUUUAAGGUGCAUCUUUGGAAUGCAUUUCUUUUCUUAAAUUAGGAUCUUUUGUUGUUGUAUUGAAGGAAGGAGAGCCUUGGAGUAA